rnacentral:rRNA from 1 species
AUUGAACGCUGGCGGCAGGCCUAACACAUGCAAGUCGAACGAGUGGCGGACGGGUGAGUAAUGUCUGGGAAACUGCCUGAUGGAGGGGGAUAACUACUGGAAACGGUAGCUAAUACCGCAUACCAUCGGAUGUGCCCAGAUGGGAUUAGCUAGUAGGUGGGGUAAAGGCUCACCUAGGCGACGAUCCCUAGCUGGUCUGGGAGGAUGACCAGGUACACCGGAACUGAGACGCGGUCCAGACGCCUACGGUAGGCGUCAGUGGGGGAUAUUGCACAAUGGGCGCAAGCCUGAUUCGGCCAUGCCGCGUGUAUGAAGAAGGCCUUCGGGUUGUAAAGUACUUUCAGUGGGGAGGCGUUACCCGCAGAAGAAGCACCGGCUAACUCCGUGCCAGCAGCCGCGGUAAUAC